GACGUAGGGCGCGAGCGUUGUCCGGAUUUAUUGGGCGUAAAGAGCUCGUAGGCGGCUUGUUGCGUCGACCGUGAAAACCCGGGGCUCAACUUCGGGCUUGCGGUCGAUACGGGCGGGCUAGAGUUCGGUAGGGGAGACUGGAAUUCCUGGUGUAGCGGUGAAAUGCGUAGAUAUCAGGAGGAAUACCGAUGGCGAAGGCAGGUCUCUGGGCUGACACUGACGCUCAUGCACGAAAGCGUGGGGAGCAAACAGG
rnacentral:rRNA from 1 species